rnacentral:rRNA from 1 species
UACGAAGGGUGCAAACGUUGCUCGGAAUUACUGGGCGCAAAGGGUGCGUAGGCGGUUAUAUAAGUUAGAUGUGAAAUCCCUAGGCUUAACCUGGGAACUGCGUUUAAUACUGUAUAGCUAGAGUACUGAAGAGGUUAGUGGAAUUUCCAGUGUAGCGGUGAAAUGCGUAGAUAUUGGAAGGAACACCAGUGGCGAAGGCGACUAACUGGUCAGAUACUGACGCUGAGGCACGAAAGCGUGGGGAGCAAACAGG